rnacentral:misc_RNA from 1 species
GAUGAAGAACGUAGCGAAAUGCGAUAAGUAAUGUGAAUUGCAGAAUUCAGUGAAUCAUCGAAUCUUUGAACGCACAUUGCGCCCGUCAGUAUUCUGGCGGGCAUGCCUGUUCGAGCGUCAUUACGCCCCUCAAGUCCCCUGUGGACUUGGUGUUGGGGAUCGGCGAGGCUGGUUUUCCAGCACAGCCGUCCCUUAAAUUAAUUGGCGGUCUCGCCGUGGCCCUCCUCUGCGCAGUAGUAAAACACUCGCAACAGGAGCCCGGCGCGGUCCACUGCCGUAAAACCCCCCAACUUUUUAUAGUUGACCUCGAAUCAGGUAGGACUACCCGCUGAACUGAAGCAUAUCAAUAAGCGGAGGA